ensembl:lncRNA LINC01036 long intergenic non-protein coding RNA 1036
GGACUACAGGCGCCGGCCACCCCACCGCGCUAAUUUUUUUGUAUUUUUUAGUAGAGACGGGGUUUUGUGUCCGGAAUUGGUGGGUUCUUGGUCUCACUGACUUCAAGAAUGAAGCCGCGGACCCUCGCAGUGAGUGCUACAGCUUUUAAGGUGGCGCCUUUGGAGUUUGUUCCUUCUGAUGUUCGGAUGUGUUCGGAGUUUCUUCCUUCUGGUGGGUUCGUGAUCUCGCUGGCUCAGGAGUGAAGCUGCAGACCUUCACGGGGAGUGUUACAGCUCUUAAGGUGGCACAUCUGGAGUUUGUUCCUUCUGACGUUCAGAUGUGUUCGGAGUUUCUUCCUUCUGGUGGGUUCGUGAUCUCGCUGGCUCAGGAGUGAAGCUGCAGACCUUCAGGGGGAGUGUUACAGCUCUUAAGGUGGCGCGUCUGGAGUUUCUUCCUUCUGGUGGGUUCGUGAUCUCGCUGGCUCAGGAGUGAAGCUGCAGACCUUCACGGGUCAGAUGAAAGUGAGAUCCAUACAUCCUUCUUCAGCAACUUGUGCCUCUGCUCUGCACCUCCCGCAAUUAACUACUGAAAAAAGAACACAGCUUCACAAAAGAGAUUGUAAAAUCAGGAAGUAUAUCUAAGUCACCUCCAGUAGCCGUAACUCUACCUUGUCCAGUAAAAGUGCUGCUUGUUGCUGACGUUUCUGCCCAAACAUCAUGAAAUGUGGAGAAGAAAGAACACUCAGAUGUGCCCUGGAGACUUUCCUUUUAUUUUUAAACAGGUUUUCUGCAUGCUCUUUUUAAUAUCAUUUGAAUGUCAUUCUCAUUCCUGAAUACAUCUAGAUUCACAUGCUCAAAAUCUAAAAGAUUCAUAAGGAUAAACCCUGGAAAGACUCUCUCCCUCUCGGAUACCAGCCGUGACCUACAUGCUGUUUAAAUUAGUCUCUAGUCUUCAGCCCUCACCAGUGCACAAUUUUUUUUUCCAUUGGGUUUGACCAACUCUAUAUUCGACUUGAACAAAUCCGAAGGAAAGCUUCCAAUUAUGGGGAACAAGUCCUCUGAAGUGGCUAAAUUCCCACACACACAAAAGAAAAGAUGAGUCUAUGCCCAGGACCACCAGAUAAUUGAGUCCUGUACAAAAGCUUCUGACUAAACAAUGUGCUCUGGCUCAGGACUAUACAGAGAAAAGACACAGUUUUUAAAUUGAUCGUUCAAAAGGAAACAUAUUUAUGAUAUUUGCUCCAUGAUAUGUAUCUCUCAUCUGUUAGCUCAGGCAGAAUUAAAAUGCUAGACAAU